rnacentral:rRNA from 1 species
UACAGAGGUCUCAAGCGUUUGUUCGGAUUCAUUGGGCGUAAAGGGUGCGUAGGCGGCGCGGUAAGUCGGGUGUGAAAUUUCGAGGCUUAACUUCGAAACUGCAUUCGAUACUGCCGUGCUAGAGGACUGGAGAGGAGACUGGAAUUUACGGUGUAGCGGUGAAAUGCGUAGAUAUCGUAAGGAAGACCAGUGGCGAAGGCGGGUCUCUGGACAGUUCCUGACACUGAGGCACGAAGGCCAGGGGAGCAAACGGG